rnacentral:rRNA from 1 species
GACGAACGCUGGCGGCGUGCUUAACACAUGCCAAUCGAACGGAAAGGCCCUGCUUUUGUGGGGUGCUCGAGUGGCGAACGGGUGAGUAACACGUGAGUAACCUGCCCUUGACUUUGGGAUAACUUCAGGAAACUGGGGCUAAUACCGGAUAGGAGCUCCUGCUGCAUGGUGGGGGUUGGAAAGUUUCGGCGGUUGGGGAUGGACUCGCGGCUUAUCAGCUUGUUGGUGGGGUAGUGGCUUACCAAGGCUUUGACGGGUAGCCGGCCUGAGAGGGUGACCGGCGACAUUGGGACUGAGAUACGGCCCAGACUCCUACGGGAGGCAGCAGUGGGGAAUAUUGCACAAUGGGCGGAAGCCUGAUGCAGCAACGCCGCGUGCGGGAUGACGGCCUUCGGGUUGUAAACCGCUUUCGCCUGUGACGAAGCGUGAGUGACGGUAAUGGGUAAAGAAGCACCGGCUAACUACGUG